rnacentral:lncRNA from 1 species
UUUAGAGACCAACGAACGACCUCUGCUUCUUCAUCUUCAACCUUCAGCCGUCUCCCUGAUUUUCUUCAACCAAAAACACCCAAAACUGAAGAACCCCUCCAUAGCUGCCGCUGACCCCGUCCUCUUAUUCAACUCACAGGCGACCUCCAUGCCGUUUACCAACCAAGCAGCAUCCGACGACCAGCCGUACACACCAGACCCAACACAUCUCUGCCGAGUUUCUGCUUCUUCUCUUUGACUUCAAUUUCGAAUUUUGGUUUCAAAUUCAUGGAGUUCAUUUGAGUUUGAAGUUGUUUUGUGAUUCAGGCUGAUUCGAGGUCGUUGUUCGCGAUUCGCCAUUCAAGGUUCGGAUUCCGUUCUUACUUGCCGAUUUUGAAAAAUCAAGGUUCGUUUCUAUUUCUUGCUCUGUUUUGGUAGGAUUGAAAAUAUGAUGUUGAUGGCUUAAUUAAUUUAUGAUUCUUUUCAACAACCAAAAUGGUUAAUAUUUCUUGUUCUAGUAUUUUUCUUCUCCUUUUGUUUUUUUUCGAUUAUGUUUAGUGCAAUGCUAAAAUGAUGUUAGUUUCUCUAGAAAGGUUCCAUAUUUGCUUACUAGCAGCUGAAACUCUUAUUGCAAUUAACAUUGUAUUAGUACUAAUUUGAGAGGAUUCUAAAACACUGAUUAAUUAAGGUAGUAGUAGUAGACUGGAUUUUGUUGAUUUUGUCGUUUGUCUUACUAAUUAUUUGAAUUAAUAUUUUGUUGAUAUUUGUUCCGUUUUGGUUGAAAGUCUAAUGUUUUUGGUUUGUUCCAUUUUUGUGAUUGUUUGGAUUACAGUAUGGGGGUCUAGAAGUAUGAAUUCACUAUAAAAAUGCAUUGUCAGAAUUGAGAUUAGAGAUAUAAAUUCAAAUUCAUCGUAUCUUUCAUAUCAUGUCUGAUUGUGUAUUUUUGGUUUUGUUACUCACUUGGAUAAUGCAAUAAAUGAGAAACUUCUGCAAGUUCUUUAACUUAUUAGUUAGUACAUGGAAGAAAGUUUGCAGCAAUUGUUUUUAACUUCCACAAGGUUAGACAUUUUCUUAUCAUGCAUGUGUUGCUACUUAGUGAAGGAUUGAUUUUCUUUAAAUAUCUUUUUUUUUUUUCCUUUUGCAUCACCCCUUAUGUCAUAAUGGGGCUUUGAUUAAUUCCAAGUCUAUCCAACAAUCUUACUGUAGAACCUUAGAAGCUUACCGAUAAGUGUUGUUGAACUUUUGUUGUUAUGUUGGCUCUCCUAAUGAAUUGCCAAUAUGCGGGUCAAUUGCUUAGUUGGAAACUGUACUGGGUCAUGUCAGCUUUUUGUUCUUAUAUAUAGUUUAUUUGUCUUAAAUAUUUUAUAGUUUUAUUAAUUGUCGGAAAGAUAUAUCAUCACAUAUAGGUAAAGGUAAUUGGCAUUUUCGGGC